AGAGUUUGAUCCUGGCUCAGGACGAACGCUGGCGGCGUGCCUAAUACAUGCAAGUCGAGCGGAUCACACCUCGGGUGUGGUUAGCGGCGGACGGGUGAGUAACACGUAGGCAACCUGCCUGUCAGAUCGGGAUAACUAUCGGAAACGAUAGCUAAGACCGGAUAACUGGUUUUCUCGCAUGAGAGAAUCAUGAAACACGG
rnacentral:rRNA from 1 species